GAUCCUGCUGCUGUUCGAUCAUCUUCGGCUUCAACUUCCGCUGUGAAGACUGUCAAUUCAACCUUGAUGCCAGGUGCGCUGCACGGUACUUAAACAUCAAGUACGAGGACAGAGGCCUUUUUUUCCUGGUGGAGACCGAUCCGCUGGUGCAUUACUGCUGCAACGUGUGCAGCGACUUUGGUUGUGACACGCACCUUGUUCAGUGCAUGGUCCUGGCCUGCCCUCGCCGCUUCCACUUCCAUUGUGCCCCCUUCGCCUUUCCAGAGAAGAUUAAGUCCAAGUGCCACUUCCACUCCCUCACCUUUGCUGAGACUUGGAUCCAGGACAACUUCGGCGAGUACUACUGUAAUGUGUGCUAGCAGAUGAAGAAACCGAAGCAUCCUGCUUAUCACUGCACUGAGUACAAGUUCAUUGCUCAUGACAGCAGCACUGUCUAGGAGGUCUUAGCAACCAUAAAUAGUGGAGUACGAGAAUGAUGCAAAGAUCCGGAGGGAUCACACAAAUGAUGCCGCCCUCCAAAAGCUCAAUAGAAGAAUUCACGACGUGCGUGCUGAGGAAGAAAAAUUAGCAAAGAUCAUGGCAAAAUUGAAGGUGGUGAGAGAUAUUUGUGCUCAGUAUGUUGCAUCUAGGAACCAUACACCAUGACCAGAAAUGAGAGUCGUGCAGAACUCUAGCUGAAUUAUGCAAACACAGUGAAUAGCAUUGUAGCUUAGGCAUCAGAAACCUGUCUCUGUUGGUCACUGAGAUUAUCAAAUCCUAUGGGUUGGUCAUUGUAACGCGCAAUCCGCACCUAAGACGCUAACCCAGGAUCUAGUUUUUCAUAUUUACAUUUGUUGCACAUCACUCGGCUUUGCAUGAACUUUCCGUAAGCUCGAAACACGGGAAAUCCCGCUCGUGUUACUGUGAACACGGCAGGCUGCUGAUCUUUGUUUGUGACUGAGAUGACGAGCUUCAGGUAUAGAAUACGGAAACAUCAUUUGGAACUCUUAACUGCAGCAAAGAUCAUAUCACUUCCUGCAGCUGUUGUGGGAGAAUUGCUUGCUUCAUCUUCCGCGAAAUCGAGCAGUUCGAACGAGGGGCAGUAGUUUCAACUGCGCAAAGCAAGAUUACAGAAUUUGUCAUUGCGAUCUUGAGUUCUUCCCUGGGAAAGUACAGUAGAGCAUUGAUCUACAGAUUGGAAUGCAGCUGGACAAUAUCAUGAAGAUGAACUCACAUAUUGGCUUGGCAUAUGAACUUACAUGAUGACCUUUCAGUGUAGUUGUGGUAAAAGUAUGGGACUUAUCGAAAAUUGUUACAUCCUUGAUGUGGCUGGAUUAACUUGAUAUAUCGAAAGGGUAAUUAUCAAGCAAUAAGGAAUUAAAUUAGGGGUAGUGAAGGCGCAAGUGUUUGAACUUUUGUUCGCUUUAUAAUCGAGUACCUAUAUUUAUUUUUUCCGGUUCAA